ensembl:lncRNA
GGCGCAUCUUGGCCACUUCCUUUGCUUGUUUGCACGCGUGGCCUCUUAGGCCUGGAUCCUCAAGUGGGCGGAUUGUUCUCAGGCUGCUUGUUUCCAUCCAGUGCCCUCACCUGGAAUCUCGGCUCCACCAGACUGUAGUCGUGCUCCAGGACUUUCACCUAGGCCCACCUGUGCCCUACCUUGUCAAAUCCAGUUUUGGCAAGAGCUCUGUGUGGUGCUGCUGCUAAGUCACUUAGGUCGUGUCCGACUCUGUGCAACCCCAUAGACGGCAGCCCACCAGGCUCCCCCGUCCCUGGGAUUCUCCAGGCAAGAACACUGGAGUGGGUUGCCAUUUCCUUCUCCAAUGCAUGAAAGUGAAAAGUGAAAGUGAAGUCGCUCAGUCCUGUCCGACCCUUAGCGACCCCAUGGACUGCAGCCCACCAGGCUCCUCCGUCCAUGGGAUUUUCCAGGCAAGAGUACUGCAGUGGGGUGCCACUGCCUUCUAUGUGAUGUUUCCAUGUGAUCUGUACUUUUGAGGCACCUGGGAUCUCUUCAACAGCCAUGAGAUGCAUUGCUGUGUUUGGCCUGAAAGAUAAUGCUUAUUAGAACUAAAGCACAAUAGAAAAGAAGGUGACUGAGCAACAUUGUAUGAUGCAAACCAAGAAUGCUUUCCUGAGGUGCAAGGUGCUUUCCUGAGGCAGAUAUUAUACCAUGUGAAGAUGGGAGAGAUUAUACCCAUGACAUUAAGGAUACUGGUCACGUAAUGUUAUCAGAAGACAUUCUUCUGAUUAACCCUCCUUAACUUCCCUUACUCAUGAGAUGUUUCUAUAAUUUUAAUUAUAAUGUGUUUCAUCAUUAUCUGGAUAGUUCCUUGGGGAGAUGCUCUCAAUGUGUGCCGUGUUCAAGAUUCUAUUAUAAAUAGUGAGGAAUUAUCAUUUUCUUCUUGGUGCUGAAGGCACUGCAGACUGGGUCUAAGUGAAGGCAAUGCCAAAUUUCACAGAUGUGACAGAAUUUGUUCUUCUGGGUUGACCAGUCGUCAGGAGCUUCAGGGUCUCUUUUUUGUGGUGUUUCUAGUAGUUUACAUGAUCACUCUGAUAUGGAACAUUGGUAUGAUUACUUUGAUCAGCAUCAGCCUCCAGCUUCAGAGCUCCAUGUAAUUUUUCUUGAGUCAUUUGUCUUUUGUGGAUGUGUGGUUCUCUUCCAAUGUCACUCUGAAGAUGCUGGAAAACUUACUAUGAGGCAAAAACCAUUUCCUAUGUGGGGUGUUUGGUGCAGCAUUACUUCUUCGCAGCCCUUGUCCACGUGGAAGUAUGUAUCUUGGCUGUGAUGGCCUUUAAUCACUACAUGACCAUCUGCAACCCUCUGCUUUAUGGCAGUAAAAUGUCCAGGACUGUCUGUGCU